UACGGGGGGGGUAAGCGUUGUUCGGAAUUACUGGGCGUAAAGGGCUCGUAGGCGGCCAACUAAGUCAGACGUGAAAUCCCUCAGCUUAACUGGGGAACUGCGUCUGAUACUGGAUGGCUUGGAUUCGGGAGAGGAAUGCGGAAUUCCAGGUGUAGCGGUGAAAUUCGUAGAUAUUCGGAAGAACACCAGUGGCGAAGGCGGCUCACUGGCCCGGUACUGACGCUGAGAUACGAAAGCGUGGGGAGCAAACAGG
rnacentral:rRNA from 1 species